UGGGGAAUCUUGGACAAUGGGCGCAAGCCUGAUCCAGCCAUGCCGCGUGGAUGAUGAAGGCCUUAGGGUUGUAAAAUCCUUUCGCCGAGGACGAUAAUGACGGUACUCGGAGAAGAAGCUCCGGCUAACUUCGUGCCAGCAGCCGCGGUAAUACGAAGGGGGCUAGCGUUGUUCGGAUUUACUGGGCGUAAAGCGCGUGUAGGCGGGUCGUUAAGUUGGGGGUGAAAUCCCGAGGCUCAACCUCGGAACUGCCUUCAAAACUGGCGACCUGGACCUAAGUAGAGGCAAGUGGAAUUGCGAGUGUAGAGGUGAAAUUCGUAGAUAUUCGCAGGAACACCAGUGGCGAAGGCGACUUGCUGGACUUAUGGUGACGCUGAGACGCGAAAGCGUGGGGAGCAAACAGGAUUAGAUACCCC
rnacentral:rRNA from 1 species